rnacentral:sRNA from 1 species
AAAUUUGAGGGUGACCUGACUGUGACAAGACACCCCACUGAUCAUCAGUGAUUUUUUCAACUGAGUUUCCUGGCUUGCUUGGUGUCCCCUUUCUCCUCUACAGUUCGGCAUCUUUCCUUCCUGAAGCAGGACACUCGGUCAAAAAGGACACCUUUUAAAAAUGUUAAAUAAUUCUCUGUUGCUUUCUCUUUGUGUAAGUAUCAAAUUUUUAAUUUCUCUGAACCUCCUGGCAUUGAAAAAUGGCACCAGAAAAUUAAUAGCAGGAAUACGAAAUCCUUUUCUUU